UCGGGAAUUUUGGGCAAUGGGCGAAAGCCUGACCCAGCAACGCCGCGUGAGUGAAGAAGGCCUUCGGGUUGUAAAGCUCUUUUGUCAGGGAAGAAACGGUAGUAGCGAAUAACUAUUACUAAUGACGGUACCUGAAGAAUAAGCACCGGCUAACUACGUGCCAGCAGCCGCGGUAAUACGUAGGGUGCAAGCGUUAAUCGGAAUUACUGGGCGUAAAGCGUGCGCAGGCGGUUGUGUAAGUCAGAUGUGAAAUCCCCGGGCUCAACCUGGGAAUUGCAUUUGAGACUGCACGGCUAGAGUGUGUCAGAGGGGGGUAGAAUUCCACGUGUAGCAGUGAAAUGCGUAGAUAUGUGGAGGAAUACCGAUGGCGAAGGCAGCCCCCUGGGAUAACACUGACGCUCACACACGAAAGCUAGGGUAGCGAAGAGGAUUAGAUACCCCCGUAGUCCCUGAGCGGGCUGGCAAGGCGCAU
rnacentral:rRNA from 1 species